AAUAUUUUACAAUGGGGGGAACCCUGAUCCAGCCAUGCCGCGUGUGUGAAGAAGGUCUNUGGAUUNUNAAGCACUUUUAGUUGGGNGGAAGAGUUGUAGGCUAAUACCUUGCAAUUUUGACGUUACCAACAGAAUAAGAACAGGCUAACUUCGUGCCAGCAGCCGCGGUAAUACGAAGGGUGCAAGCGUUAAUCGGAAGUACUGGGGGUAAAGCGCGCGUAGGUGGUUCGUUAAGUUGGAAGUGAAAGCCCCGGGCUUAACCAGGGAAUUGCUUUCAAAACUGACGAGCUAGAGGUCGGUAGAGGGUGGUGGAAUUUCCUGUGUAGCGGUGAAAUGCGUAGAUAUAGGAAGGAACAUCAGUGGCGAAGGCGACUACCUGGACUGAUACUGACACUGAGGUGCGAAAGCGUGGGGAGCAAACAGG
rnacentral:rRNA from 1 species